CGCGUAGGUGGUUGCGUCAGUCGGAUGUGAAAUCCCCAGGCUUAACCUGGGAACUGCAUCUGAUACUGCGUGACUCGAGUGCAGCAGAGGGAAACGGAAUUCCUGGUGUAGAGGUGAAAUUCGUAGAUAUCAGGAGGAACACCGGUGGCGAAGGCGGUUUCCUGGGCUGACACUGACACUGAGGCGCGAAAGCGUGGGUAGCAAACAGGAUUAGAUACCCUGGUAGUCCACGCUGUAAACGGUGAGUACUGGGUGUGGGAGGUGUAAUGCCUUCUGUGCCGAAGCUAACGCGUUAAGUACUCCGCCUGGGGAGUACGGCCGCAAGGUUGAA
rnacentral:rRNA from 1 species